UGCAGUCGUACGAGAGUUUGAACUCAAGUGGCGGACGGGUGAGUAACACGUAAGAAUUUGCCUUUAGGAGGGGGACAACAACUGGAAACGGUUGCUAAUACCCCAUAUGCUUUCGAGUGAAACGGUUUUUCCGCCUAAAGAGAAGCUUGCGGCUGAUUAGCUUGUUGGUAAGGUAAUGGCUUACCAAGGCGACGAUCAGUAUCUGGUUUGAGAGGACGAUCAGACACACUGGAACUGAGACACGGUCCAGACUCCUACGGGAGGCAGCAGUGGGGAAUUUUCCGCAAUGGGCGAAAGCCUGACGGAGCAAUACCGCGUGAGGGAUGACGGCCUAUGGGUUGUAAACCUCUUUUUUCAGGGAGGAAUCAAUGACGUGUACCUGAAGAAUAAGCAUCGGCUAACUCCGUGCCAGCAGCCGCGGUAAGACGGAGGAUGCAAGUGUUAUCCGGAAUCACUGGGCGUAAAGCGUCUGUAGGUGGUCAAAUAAGUCAACUGUUAAAUCUUGAGGCUCAACUUCAAAAUCGCAGUCGAAACUAUUAGACUAGAGUAUAGUAGGGGUAAAGGGAAUUUCCAGUGGAGCGGUGAAAUGCGUAGAGAUUGGAAAGAACACCGAUGGCGAAGGCACUUUACUGGGCUAUUACUAACACUCAGAGACGAAAGCUAGGGGAGCAAAUGGGAUUAGAUACCCUGGUAGUCCCCU
rnacentral:rRNA from 1 species